UACGUAGGGGGCAAGCGUUGUCCGGAAUUAUUGGGCGUAAAGCGCGCGCAGGCGGUUCUUUAAGUCUGGUGUCUAAGUGCGGGGCUCAACCCCGUGAUGCACUGGAAACUGGGGAACUUGAGUGCAGAAGAGGAGAGCGGAAUUCCACGUGUAGCGGUGAAAUGCGUAGAGAUGUGGAGGAACACCAGUGGCGAAGGCGGCGUCUCUGGACUGUAACUGACGCUGAGGCGCGAAAGCGUGGGGAGCAAACAGG
rnacentral:rRNA from 1 species